CCAGGUUUGCACAGAAGUGUAAGAGAAAUUGACAGUUUUGGCUGAAAGCAAGAUUUAGUUACUUUUAAAUUCAUGUUUUUUAUCCCAGAAGCAAAUGAAUUGGCCUGUCUUUUUAAAAAAACACUUCUGAAUGCGUCAGCAUGAAUAUAUGUGGACUGGCUUCGCCACUGGAGGUCGAGUCAGUGAGAUAUGUGAACCUCAGAAUGGCUGUCAGCCAUCAGAUACUUUUAAAGAGCUUCAGGCUUUAAAGCUUUACAUGCCAAACAGCAGCGCAGAGCCUAAUUUGGUGAAAGGGUCUCUGUGUGGUCUAAUAUCUCCAAAACGAGGGUUCUUGGUUAUUUUCAGGACACUACUCAACUGUUCAUGACAAGAGACGCAGAACUCAGAAUAAGGGGAAAAUGAGAGACCUUUCAUUAUACACCUUUAAUGGAGGUGGAUCAUGGGUUCACCUUGAUGAAACGACCAGCUUAGACCAACAUGAAAUGCCAGGUUUAUGCUGUUUCUAAAGCUGGUUGACAAACGUGGCUGAAGCAAACAACAACCUCAAGCUGAAGUUCACCUGAACAAGAUAUAAAGGAACAGCAGCAAAGCAAUAUGGGUUCACAAUGAUGAGUUCCAAUUUAAGGGAAAGGAAAAAUAAUUGUGUCCUAACUAGGAAUACUGCAAUAAAGAUUUUAUUUAUAAUGUG